GCACCGCCUGGUACAGGCCGGUGCCAGGCAGCCUCAGGCCGGGCGCGUGCUUGCCUGUCUCGUAGCCCUUUUCUACCAUGGCCUGCGGGGACAGCAAGUGGAGACCGCAGAUCCCGUGAUCAGCAUGGGGGACAUGCUGGCCUCCUCACCACAGGCCCCGCUUACCCGAGGGUCGCUGAAUGUGAUCCAGUGCUUCACGCGGUCCCCAAAGGCCUCAAAGCACAGGUCGGCGUAGUCCUGGAAGUAGCCGGCCAUGCUGGCAUUCUGCCACCCCCCGAACCUCGCCUGGAGCAGCUGCCAACAGAGAGGACAAGAACCUGGAAAGAAUUCCUGGGAAGAGCACAGGACCUUACACCUGAGCUGUACAAGUGACUAUUUCUCAACUCACAAAAGAGCACACCUAAGAUUUCCCCCCUUUUGAGGUAAUGUUUGUUUACAGUGAAAUGCACACAUUUUGUUUUGGU